rfam:Triticum urartu cultivar G1812 contig385802, whole genome shotgun sequence.
GUUGUACUCCCUGCGUCCCGAAAUACUUGUCGGAGAAAUGGAUGUAUCUAGAUGCAUUUUAGUUCUAGAUACAUCCAUUUUUAUGCAUUUCUUCGACGAGUAUUUCCGGACAGAGGGAGUAUUGA